CACGGGGGGAGCAAGCGUUGUUCGGAAUCACUGGGCGUAAAGGGCGUGUAGGCGGUCAAGUAAGUGGAAUGUGAAAGCCCCCGGCUUACCCGGGGAUCUGCAUCCCAAACUGCUUGGCUUGAGUACGGGAGAGGAUAGGGGAAUUCCUGGUGUAGCGGUGAAAUGCGUAGAUAUCAGGAGGAACACCGGUGGCGAAGGCGCCUAUCUGGCCCGAUACUGACGCUGCGGCGCGAAAGCUAGGGGAGCAAACGGG
rnacentral:rRNA from 1 species